GACGAACGCUGGCGGCGUGCUUAACACAUGCAAGUCGAACGGUGAAGCGCCUUCCUUUUUGGUUGGUGUGGAUGAGUGGCGAACGGGUGAGUAACACGUGAGUAACCUGCCCCCUUCUUCUGGAUAACCGCAUGAAAGUGUGGCUAAUACGGGAUAUUCUGGGUCUGUCGCAUGAUGGGUCUGGGAAAGAUAUUGUUUCGGUGGGGGAUGGGCUCGCGGCCUAUCAGCUUGUUGGUGGGGUGAUGGCCUACCAAGGCGGUGACGGGUAGCCGGCCUGAGAGGGUGGACGGCCACACUGGGACUGAGACACGGCCGAGACUCCUACGGGAGGCAGCAGUGGGGAAUAUUGCACAAUGGGCGAAAGCCUGAUGCAGCGACGCCGCGUGAGGGAUGGAGGCCUUCGGGUUGUGAACCUCUUUCGCCAGUGAAGCAGGCCUGCCUCGUUUGUGGGUGGGUUGACGGUAGCUGGAUAAGAAGCGCCGGCUAACUACGUG
rnacentral:rRNA from 1 species